rnacentral:tRNA from 1 species
CCGACCUUAGCUCAGUUGGCAGAGCGGAGGACUGUAGUGGUUACUCGCAGAUAAAUCCUUAGGUCGCUGGUUCGAAUCCGGCAGGUCGGA